rnacentral:rRNA from 1 species
GGUAAUCUGCCCUGGAGUGGGGAAUAACACCGGGAAACCGGUGCUAAUACCGCAUACGAUCACGAUGUCUGCGGAUGUUGUGAUGAAAGGAGCAAUUCGCUCCAGGAGGAGCCCGCGGCUGAUUAGCUAGUUGGUGAGGUAACGGCUCACCAAGGCUACGAUCAGUAUCCGGUCUGAGAGGACGGUCGGACACACUGGAACUGAGACACGGUCCAGACUCCUACGGGAGGCAGCAGUGGGGAAUUUUUGGCAAUGGGGGAAACCCUGACCAAGCAACGCCGCGUGGGUGAUGAAGUCUCUUGGGACGUAAAACCCUUUCGACGGGGAAGAAACCGCAAGGUUGACGGUACCCGUACAAGAAGCCCCGGCUAACUUCCGUGCCAGCAGCCGCGGUUAUUACCGGGGGGGCAA